AGAGGGACAGCUGGGUCAAAUGGUGGCUCCAUUCCCAGAUAUCCAAGGAAUCUCCAUACUGCUUUCCAUAUUGGCUGUACCAAUUUGCAGCCCCACCAGCAAU
rnacentral:pre_miRNA from 1 species